rnacentral:misc_RNA from 1 species
GAUGAAGAACGCAGCGAAAUGCGAUACGUAAUGUGAAUUGCAGAAUUCAGUGAAUCAUCGAGUCUUUGAACGCACAUUGCGCCCCCUGGUAUUCCGGGGGGCAUGCCUGUCCGAGCGUCAUUGCUGCCCUCAAGCACGGCUUGUGUGUUGCGCCCCGUCCUCCGAUUCCGGGGGACGGGCCCGAAAGGCAGCGGCGGCACCGCGUCCGGUCCUCGAGCGUAUGGGGCUUUGUCACCCGCUCUGUAGGCCCGGCCGGCGCUUGCCGAUCAACCCAAAUUUUUAUCCAGGUUGACCUCGGAUCAGGUAGGGAUACCCGCUGAACUUAAGCAUAUCAAUAAGCGGAGGA